GCCGAGGUGGCACAACCUGGUAAUGCGCUGGAUUGCUAAUCCAGUGUCCUUACGGACUUGGGGGUUCAAAUCCCCCCCUCGGCG
rnacentral:tRNA from 1 species